rnacentral:rRNA from 1 species
CCUACGGGGGGCAGCAGUGAGGAAUAUUGGUCAAUGGGCGUAAGCCUGAACCAGCCAAGUCGCGUGAGGGAUGAAGGUUCUAUGGAUCGUAAACCUCUUUUAUAAGGGAAUAAAGUGUGGGACGUGUCCUAUUUUGUAUGUACCUUAUGAAUAAGGAACGGCUAACGCCGUGCCAGCAGACGCGGUAAUACGGAGGAUCCGAGCGUUAUCCGGAUUUAUUGGUGUUAAAGGGUGCGUAGGCGGCCUUUUAAGUCAGCGGUGAAUGUUUGUGGCUCAACCAUAGAAUUGCCGUUGAAACUGGGGGGCUUGAGUAUGUUUGAGGCAGGCGGAAUGCGUGGUGUAGCGGUGAAAUGCUUAGAUAGCACGCAGAACCCCGAUUGCGAAGGCAGCCUGCCAAGCCAUGACUGACGCUGAUGCACGAAAGCGUGGGGAUCAAACAGGAUUAGAUACCCGUGUAGUC